CUAACUGCUAAUCAAAAUCAUCAAAAUCAUCAUCCAAUGCUCACGGAUCCAACAAACUCCUUGCUGAACAUAUGCGACCGCACCAUAAAAUUAAGCAAAGUUUGCUGCGUGACACUCUGUAGUGGCUCUCAACUGUGUUAUCUUAGACAUCAUACGAGCCUGCUGCUCGAUCAUCACAGACAUCUGUCCCAUGAGAGCUAAAGAAUGGUCUAUGAGACUAGAAGUAGAUGAUGAAAUAGGAUCAACAAGUAGUGGUAGAGCAGGGGUAGAAGAUGAUGGAAUGUUAGUGGUUAAAGUAUGAAUAUCGAAUCUAGACCAAUAGGAUAAGCUAGUACAGUCAAAUGAAUUGGCUCAACUGGCUCGAAAGAAGCGAAAGAUUAAGGAACAUGAGACAUAUUCUGUGAAAUGGUAGUAUGGCCAAUAGGCCAGGAAACCCUCCCCAUAAUCCCAUCAGGAAAAGUAGACCUAAGAUUUGUCGAGACGAUAAAUCAAGCAUGGCAAGGAAGACCAAUCCUAGUACCAGUCACUUGAAAAGUACGUAAAAUUUGAUGAAAUAUGAUAAAAGAAAGGUCUAUAACGUAGCCAUACAAGGGCACAUAAAGAAAUCUAGCCUUAUUCAUGGGCAAAAAAGAGGUGUGGAAGACUGGCCACAAAUUUGUGCAGACAUUACUCAACAAAAUCAGUCUAUUAGUAAAUAGGGAUCCAGUAAAAGUCGCAGAUAGACUCUCUCCGGAGGAUGGUUAAACAGUGUCGAUCGGAUAAGAGAGUCCGCAGUGAGGAUGCCAAUAGAUAAAUAUUUAAAUAACGGAUGGACAACCUGGGGAAUGUGGAUAAUACUAGAUAUGACAUUAAGAGUGAUUUUAGGCAUCUUACCUUAAAGAAAACCCUAAAGGUUGACCCGCUAAUAUCAUGUAAUA
rnacentral:lncRNA from 1 species